rnacentral:rRNA from 1 species
AUUGAACGCUGGCGGCACGCCUAACACAUGCAAGUCGAGCGGUAGCAGGACCUGUAGCAAUACAGGUUGCUGACGAGCGGCGGACGGGUGAGGAAUACGUAGGAACUUGCCCUUCAGUGGGGGAUAACCAAGGGAAACUUUGGCUAAUACCGCAUAAUCUCGGGAGAGUAAAGCUGCCGCAAGGUGGUGCUGAAGGAACGGCAUGCAUCCGAUUAGCUAGUUGGUGAGGUAAGAGCUCACCAAGGCGAUGAUCGGUAACUGGUCUGAGAGGACGACCAGUCACACUGGGACUGAGACACGGCCCAGACUCCUACGGGAGGCAGCAGUGGGGAAUAUUGGACAAUGGGGGCAACCCUGAUCCAGCGAUGCCGCGUGAGUGAAGAAGGCCCUCGGGUCGUAAAGCUCUUUAGGUUGGGAAGAAGGUUAUUGGAGGAAAUGCUAGUAGCUUGACGGUACCGACAGAAUAAGCACCGGCAAACUCUGUGCCAGCCGCCGCAGUAA